rnacentral:rRNA from 1 species
UCUUACGGCCAUACCACCCUGAACACGUCUGAUCUCGGAAGCUAAGCAGCGUUGGGCUGGGUCAGUACUUGGAUGGGAGACUGCCUGGGAAUACCCGGUGCUGUAAGAG